rnacentral:rRNA from 1 species
CCUACGGGAGGCAGCAGUGAGGAAUAUUGGUCAAUGGACGAGAGUCUGAACCAGCCAAGUAGCGUGAAGGAUGACUGCCCUAUGGGUUGUAAACUUCUUUUAUAUGGGAAUAAAAUGUUCCACGUGUGGGAUUUUGUAUGUACCAUAUGAAUAAGGAUCGGCUAACUCCGUGCCGGCAGCCGCGGUAAUACGGAGGAUCCGAUCGUUAUCCGGAUUUAUGGGGUUUAAAGGGAGCGUAGGUGGAUUGUUAAGUCAGUGGUGAAAGUUUGCGGCUCAACCGUAAAAGUGCAGUUGAAUAUGGUAGUCUUGAGUAAAGUAGAGGUGGGCGGAAUUCGUGGUGUAGCGGUGAAAUGCUUAGAUAUCACGAAGAACUCCGAUUGCGAAGGCAGCUCACGGGACUGCAACUGACACUGAGGCUCGAAAGUUUGGGUAUCAAACAGGAUUAGAUACCCCUGAGUC